AUGGCCCAUAAGGCAAUCCCAGCUGCAGUGUGUGUUGACUUCGUGUUUAACAACCAGCCAUCUGUUGCUUGUCAACAUUGCGUCACACAGGCUGCGUGAACCACAGGGUAGGCUGUGGUUACUAAGUGGGGUAAGCGGGUUUCGACAAUAGAAAGAUCUGUCUCUCUCGGGCCUGAUUCAGGGAGCCUCUCAAAGGCAAUGAAGACACCUUCCAUUCUGGUUCAGAAACCUUCCUGAAGGAAAGGGUCUCAAGGAUGAGACAGAGUCUCACUAUGUUGUGGGGACCUGGCCCACCGGGAACUUAGGUCACCUGUGAAGAGGUGGCCUGGAACCGAGGAAAGCAAACACAGCAGAUGAUAUUGCACAGCAUAAAAAGAAAACAGUAUUGAAGCUCAAAAAAAAUUAGAAGAGAAAGAAAAGGGAAGAAACCUUAAUGCAGUACAAACCAGAAGAAUGCCUAACACAUGACACGUUU